AAUGGGCUAGGGGUCCUACCAGAUUACCAAACCCAAUCAAACUCCGAAUGCCACUGACAACUAUCCGGGAGUCAGGCUGCGGGAGAUAAGUUCCGUAGCCGAGAGGGAAAGAGCCCAGAUCGUCGGCUAAGGUCCCCAAAUCUGAGCUAAGUGUCAAAGGAUGUGGGAGCGCAUUGACAGCCAGGAGGUUGGCUUAGAAGCAGCCAUCCUUUAAAGAAAGCGUAAUAGCUCACUGAUCGAGUCGUCCUGCGCGGAAGAUGUAACGGGGCUAAGCGGUAAACCGAAGCUGCGGAUGCACAGUAAUGUGCGUGGUAGGGGAGCGUUCUGUAAGUCUGCGAAGGUGAGUCGUAAGGCUUGCUGGAGAUAUCAGAAGUGCGAAUGCUGACAUGAGUAGCGUUAAAGCAGGUGAAAGGCCUGCUCGCCGAAAGCGCAAGGUUUCCUACGCAACGUUCAUCGGCGUAGGGUGAGUCGGCCCCUAAGGUGAGGGCGAAAGCCGUAGCUGAU
rnacentral:rRNA from 1 species